rnacentral:rRNA from 1 species
UACGUAGGGAGCAAGCGUUGUCCGGAAUCAUUGGGCGUAAAGCGCGCGUAGGUGGCCUCAUAAGUCCGCUGUGAAAGUCAAAGGCUCAACCUUUGAAAGCCGGUGGAUACUGUGGGGCUAGAGUACGGAAGAGGCGAGUGGAAUUCCUGGUGUAGCGGUGGAAAGCGCAGAUAUCAGGAGGAACACCAAUAGCGAAGGCAGCUCGCUGGGACGUUACUGACACUGAGGCGCGAAAGCGUGGGGAGCGAACAGG